rnacentral:misc_RNA from 1 species
GAUGAAGAACGUAGCGAAGUGCGAUAAGUAGUGUGAAUUGCAGAAUUUCGUGAAUCAUCGAAUCUUUGAACGCAAAUUGCACUCUCCGGUUUUCCGGGAGAGUAUGCCUGUUUGAGGGUCAGCCUAAAUAAAUUCGGCUUCGUUGCUGUGUUUCACGCACGGUAACGUGUUUUAGUCGGAAUUUGGGUCAUCUUAAACCGAAAGGUUUUUAAGCGACUUAAAAUAUUUUUUACGAUCCCACGAACGUUUCUAAGAUCUUCUUACACGUUCAAGGUAUCGAAUAAUCCUAUUAGACGUGACCGUCGUAUCGGAUCGCGUCCAUAAUAUUUAUUCUUUAACUGACCUCAGACAGGUAAGAGUACCCGCUGAACUUAAGCAUAUCAAUAAGCGGAGGA